ACCUGGCUGGCUCAGUCAGUAGAGCAUAUGACUCUUGAUCUUAGGGUGUGGGUUGGAGCUCCACAAUGGGUG
rfam:Canis lupus familiaris chromosome 20, whole genome shotgun sequence.